rnacentral:sRNA from 1 species
GCAGGAUUCAGAAGUGUAUUUAGCAUCUCUAGAACCCUCUUGCCUACUGUUGGUUGCCCAUAUAUUCAAAUAACUCAAAAGUGUUAAACCUUAUGCCAUCCUGCAAGAAAAUGUGAUGGCCCCAGGGCUACAUGUGGAUUUCUGAUGCUGGAGUUUGAAAAACUUACAUAAAUAGAUUGAUUGUUGAGAAUGGGAGCAUAUUGACAUAAGAUUCAUUCUGCCUUUUGUGAGCCAUUUUAU